AGGGAAUAUUGGACAAUGGGCGAAAGCCUGAUCCAGCCAUGCCGCGUGAUAGAUGAAGGCCCUCUGGGUUGUAAAUAUCUUUUAUCUGGGAAGAAACUCCUCUAUUCUUAGAGGCCUGACGGUACCAGAGGAAUAAGCACCGGCUAACUCCGUGCCAGCAGCCGCGGUAAUACGGAGGGUGCAAGCGUUAUCCGGAUUCACUGGGUUUAAAGGGUGCGUAGGCGGGUUGAUAAGUCAGUGGUGAAAGCUCCGGGCUUAACUUGGAAACUGCCAUUGAUACUGUCAAUCUUGAAUGUCGUAGAGGUAAGCGGAAUGUUGCAUGUAGCGGUGAAAUGCUUAGAUAUGUUACAGAACACCAAUUGCGAAGGCAGCUUACUAUGCGAUAAUUGACGCUGAGGCACGAAAGCGUGGGGAGCAAAC
rnacentral:rRNA from 1 species